rnacentral:pre_miRNA from 1 species
CAACUACUCCCUCUGUCCCAAAUUUCUUGUCUUAGAUUUGUCUAGAUACGGAUGUAUCUAAUACUAAAAUGUGACUUGAUACAUCUGUAUCUAGACAAAUCUAAGACAAGAAUUUUGGGACNCAAGAAUUUUGGG